GCCCCACUGGCGCAAUUGGAUAGCGCAUUGGACUUCUAAUCCAAAGGUUGUGGGUUCGACCCCCACGUGGGGCU
rnacentral:tRNA from 1 species